CCCUUAGAUGUUCUGGGCUACGCGCGCGCUACACUGAUGCACUCAACGAGUUUACGACCUUGCCCGAUAGGGUUGGGUAAUCUUUUUAAAAUGCAUCGUGAUGGGGAUAGAUUAUUGCAAUUAUUAAUCUUCAACGAGGAAUUCCUAGUAAGCGCGAGUCAUCAGCUCGUGCUGAUUACGUCCCUGCCCUUUGUACACACCGCCCGUCGCUCCUACCGAUUGAGUGCUCAGGUGAAUAAUUCGGACUGCAGCAAUGUUUGGAUCCCGAACGUUGCAGCGGAAAGUUUAGUGAACCUUAUCACUUAGAGGAAGGAGAAGUCGUAACA
rnacentral:rRNA from 1 species